GUACCACUUGUGUACGCCGCUGAGCGUGAUCUCCGGCGAAGCGAUGUCGAUCGAUGUUGGCAUUGUUGUCUCCAG
rnacentral:sRNA from 1 species